rnacentral:rRNA from 1 species
UAGUCCACGCCGUAAACGAUGUCAACUAGCCGUUGGGGGACUUGAUCCCUUAGUGGCGCAGCUAACGCGAUAAGUUGACCGCCUGGGGAGUACGGCCGCAAGGUUAAAACUCAAAUGAAUUGACGGGGCCCGCACAAGCGGUGGAGCAUGUGGUUUAAUUCGAUGCAACGCGAAGAACCUUACCUACCCUUGAAAUCCUUGGAAUCUUUUAGAGAUAAAAGAGUGCCUUCGGGAACCAAGUGACAGGUGCUGCAUGGCUGUCGUCAGCUCGUGUCGUGAGAUGUUGGGUUAAGUCCCGUAACGAGCGCAACCCUUAUCCUUAGUUGCCAGCACAUUAUGGUGGGGACUCUAAGGAAACUGCCGGUGACAAACCGGAGGAAGGUGAGGACGAUGUCAAGUCAUCAUGGCCCUUACGGGGUAGGGGCUACACACGUGCUACAAUGGGACAGUACAAUGGGGCAGCAAGACCGCGAGGUGGA